GCUGUAGUAGCUCAAGGGGUGGACUUUCCAUCUAUGGCGAGAGCAAUCCUUGAUAUGGGUUCGAGCCCCAUCUACAGCGA
rnacentral:tRNA from 1 species